CCUACGGGUGGCAGCAGUGGGGAAUAUUGGACAAUGGGGGGAACCCUGAUCCAGCCAUGCCGCGUGUGUGAAGAAGGCCCUCGGUUUGUAAAGCACUUUCAGUGAGGAAGAACGCCUGGUGGUUAAUACCCAUCAGGAAAGACAUCACUCACAGAAGAAGCACCGGCUAACUCCGUGCCAGCAGCCGCGGUAAUACGGAGGGUGCGAGCGUUAAUCGGAAUUACUGGGCGUAAAGCGCGCGUAGGUGGCUUGAUAAGCCGGUUGUGAAAGCCCCGGGCUCAACCUGGGAACGGCAUCCGGAACUGUCAAGCUAGAGUGCAGGAGAGGAAGGUAGAAUUCCCGGUGUAGCGGUGAAAUGCGUAGAGAUCGGGAGGAAUACCAGUGGCGAAGGCGGCCUUCUGGACUGACACUGACACUGAGGUGCGAAAGCGUGGGUAGCAAACAGGAUUAGAUACCCUAGUAGUC
rnacentral:rRNA from 1 species